UGCCAUGAGGAGCAUCAGUUCUGGGAACCAGGUCCAGUUGGGCCAGUAAGGCGCAACUAGCAGGACCUGCUCCUCGUCCUCCCUGACCUUGCACAGUGUCUGUGCAAGUAGGCUCACUGGGGAAACGCAUAUUUUCAUAGGCCCCGGGGGCCAGCUGUAAAAGCAAUCUCAGGGAC